GACGAACGCUGGCGGCGUGCCUAAUACAUGCAAGUCGAACGCAGUGGGGACGGGUGAGUAACACGUGGGUAACCUCCCAUCAGAGGGGAUAACACUUGGAAACAGGUGCUAAACCGAUACUGAUGGAUGGACCCGCGGUGCAUUAGCUAGUUGGUGAGGUAACGGCUCACCAAGGCCACGAUGCAUAGACGAACUGAGAGGGGGAUCGGGCAAACGGGAACGGAGACACGGCCGAGACUCCUAGGGGAGGCAGCAGUAGGGAAUCUUCGGCAAUGGACGAAAGUCUGACCGAGCGACGCCGCGUGAGGGAAGAAGGUUUUCGGAUCGGAAAACUCUGUUGUUAGAGAAGCGGUAGCUAACCAGAAAGCCACGGCUGACUACGUGCCAGCAGCCGCGGUAAUUC
rnacentral:rRNA from 1 species